UCGAGAAUUUCUCUCAAUGGGCGCAAGCCUGAAGGAGCGACGCCGCGUGGGGGAUGAAGGGCUUCGGUCCGUAAACCCCUGUCAUUUGUGAACAAAGCUAACGGGUAAAUAGCCCGUGAGUUGAUAGUAGCAAAAGAGGAAGGGACGGCUAACUCUGUGCCAGCAGCCGCGGUAAUACAGAGGUCCCAAGCGUUGUUCGGAUUCACUGGGCGUAAAGGGUGCGUAGGUGGCCUAGGAAGUUUGAUGUGAAAGCUCGGAGCUUAACUCCGAAAAGCAUUGAAUACUCUUGGGCUGGAGGGUCGGAGGGGAGACUGGAAUUCUCGGUGUAGCAGUGAAAUGCGUAGAUAUCGAGAGGAACACCAGUGGCGAAGGCGAGUCUCUGGACGAUUCCUGACACUGAGGCACGAAAGCUAGGGGAGCAAACAG
rnacentral:rRNA from 1 species